AUGAAAGCGGAGAUGGGCGAGCUCACUCACAAGCAGGGCCGCGCUGGUGUCAGCACCUUGGGCAGCCUCAGUCCUUCCUCUUGGAUCCGGCACUGGCAGGGCACCAGUGCGAAGAGGGCUGCCUGUUCAACUCCCACUGAAGCUACAGGACCUCCCCUCUCCCCUACCUCAUCUGUUGCAGCAACUCCUGCAUCUACAGAUGUCCACUGACUGCUUCCAAACCCUACAGCUCUUCACAUAUGGGAGAAAAAGACUUGGCAGUUUCUUAAGGGAUACUCACAAAAGACCAUGUUGAGACUUGGGUUUUGGAAUGAGACAAACUUGAACAUGGACUUGACCACUAACUCUUUCAGCAACUCAUUCUGUGCCAGUGGGCAGCUCAUUCAGCACCUUCGCAUGCAGUGCCUGUGAAAUAAGUACUGAAAUGAGGUGAAAUAAAUACUGAAAUGAAAUAAGUGUGAAAUAAGGUCUGGAGCUCCGAGAGCUGUGGCCAGUGCUCCAUAAAUGCCAACAGUGACCAGCAGGACCAGCAGUACUACAUGAUUCUCAGAGCCACAAGGGCCCUCAGAGCGGACUUCCUCUAGCACAGUACUCAUUGGAGGAGAGCUGGCUUGAUUUGCAGCUUUCUCUAGCUCUUAGCUUCUGGGAAACAAGAGGUCAGAACAGGGUGACUGCUUGCUCACCCUGUGUGUAAGAAAUUUUACAAGAAUGGGAACUCCAUUGCAGACUUGUUGCUUGUUUCAAAACAUUCAUCCAUCUACGGUUUUUCAGGAUGCUGACUUUAAUCCACUAUAAAUGUGUCAGUCAAAAUCCUUUUAGUUGCAGGUGAUAAAAUUACCAGCUCUGAGUAACUAAAAG
rnacentral:lncRNA from 10 species